rnacentral:rRNA from 1 species
AUUGAACGCUGGCGGCGUGCCUAACACAUGCAAGUCGAGCGGUAACAGGUGUAGCAAUACAUGCUGACGAGCGGCGGACGGGUGAGUAACGCUUGGGAAUCUGCCUGUUAGUGGGGGACAACCCGGGGAAACUCGGGCUAAUACCGCAUACGCACUACGGUGGAAAGCCGGGGACCGCAAGGCCUGGCGCUAACAGAUGAGCCCAAGUCGGAUUAGCUAGUUGGUAGGGAACGGCCUACCAAGGCGACGAUCCGUAACUGGUCUGAGAGGACGACCAGUCACACCGGAACUGAGACACGGUCCGGACUCCUACGGGAGGCAGCAGUGGGGAAUCUUGCGCAAUGGGCGAAAGCCUGACGCAGCGACGCCGCGUGAGGGACGACGGCCUCGG